UACGUAGGUGGCGAGCGUUGUCCGGAUUUACUGGGCGUAAAGAGCGCGCAGGCGGCUGGUCAAGUCCGAUGUGAAAGCUCCCGGCUUAACUGGGAAAUUGCAUCGGAAACUGAUCGGCUGGAAGGUGGGAGAGGGUAGCGGAAUUCCCGGUGUAGUGGUGAAAUGCGUAGAUAUCGGGAGGAACACCAGUGGCGAAAGGCGGCUACCUGGCCCAUUCUUGACGCUGAGG
rnacentral:rRNA from 1 species